GAUGUGAAAUCCCCGGGCUCAACCUGGGAACUGCAUUUGAAACUGGCAAGCUAGAGUCUCGUAGAGGGGGGUAGAAUUCCAGGUGUAGCGGUGAAAUGCGUAGAGAUCUGGAGGAAUACCGGUGGCGAAGGCGGCCCCCUGGACGAAGACUGACGCUCAGGUGCGAAAGCGUGGGGAGCAAACAGGAUUAGAUACCCUGGUAGUCCACGCUGUAAACGAUGUCGAUUUGGAGGUUGUGCCCUUGAGGCGUGGCUUCCGGAGCUAACGCGUUAA
rnacentral:rRNA from 1 species